GACGAACGCUGGCGGCGUGCUUAACACAUGCAAGUCGAACGAAGAGCGAUGGAAGCUUGCUUCUCUCAAUCUUAGUGGCGAACGGGUGAGUAACGCGUAAUCAACCUGCCCUUCAGAGGGGGACAACAGUUGGAAACGACUGCUAAUACCGCAUACGAUCUAAUCUCGGCAUCGAGGAUAGAUGAAAGGUGGCCUCUACAUGUAAGCUAUCACUGAAGGAGGGGAUUGCGGCUGAUUAGCUAGUUGGAGGGGUAACGGCCCACCAAGGCGAUGAUCAGUAGCCGGUCUGAGAGGAUGAACGGCCACAUUGGGACUGAGACACGGCCCAGACUCCUACGGGAGGCAGCAGUGGGGAAUCUUCCGAAAUGGACGAAAGUCUGACGGAGCAACGCCGCGUGAGUGAUGACGGCCUUCGGGUUGUAAAGCUCUGUUAAUCGGGACGAAAGGCCUUCUUGCGAAUAGGGAGAAGGAUUGACGGUACCGGAAUAGAAAGCCACGGCUAACUACGUG
rnacentral:rRNA from 1 species